rnacentral:rRNA from 1 species
GUCCGCAAGGACAAUUUGAUAAUUUGCCUCAAAUCAGGACGUCGUAGGACGUCCCGACCAU